AGCAUGAGGAAUUCAAGCAAGGAGGUGUGGAUGGUGGAUGUUGGAUUUUUCCACUGACUCUACCAAGCAUGAGGCGUCUUCUUGUGGUUUGACCUUAUCCAUGAAGCUUAAUCCAAGUCGUUAAGGAUUCAGAUGCUACUAUUCGUAAAAGGGCCCACCGGACGACCGGCCAGUUGUCCCCCAGUCAUCCGGCUAACUGAACAAUUCCCAGAACACAGCCAUGGUUUGGACUGCAAACUGGCUUGCAAUUCCCAGAGCUAGCUUAUUUUCAACGCAGCCUCAACUAGAAGUCACAUAUACUUCUUCAAUUCACAGCUGCACAGUUUGCUUUUCUAAUCCCAAAAAUCCAGCAUCGAAUCGAAGAAGAACGAAAAUACAGUGUGGCAAGCAUAUGUGGAUGAUCACUUGAUGUGCGAAAUCAAAGGCAACUACCUCUCCACCGCCGCCAUCAUCGGUCAUGACGACAGCAUUUGGGCCUAAAGCUCCUCCUUCCCUCAAGUUUCUUCACAUCUCCAAAUUUAAUGAAUUGGGUUGUUUCCUUGAUCUGAACCACCAUGUCCUUUAUUGUUCAUUCUUGAUGUGUUGUAGUGAAAAUGAUGAGAUUUCUGAAGCUAUUCAACUUUUGUAAUUAUUAUCAGUUCCAUUGAAUUGAUUUCUCUAAUUUGGAUCUGGGUUUUUUAGUUAUGGUUGGUUCCAAAUACAA